CCUACGGGAGGCAGCAGUGGGGAAUCUUGCGCAAUGGGCGAAAGCCUGACGCAGCAACGCCGCGUGCGGGAAGAAGGCUUUCGGGCUGUAAACCGCUUUCAGCAGGAACGAAAAUGACGGUACCUGCAGAAGAAGGAGCGGCCAACUAUGUGCCAGCAGCCGCGGUGAUACAUAGGCUUCAAGCGUUGUCCGGAUUUAUUGGGCGUAAAGAGUUCGUAGGCGGUCGAGUAAGUCGGGUGUGAAAAUUCUGGGCUCAACCCAGAGACGCCACCCGAUACUGCUUGACUUGAGUUCGAUAGGGGAGUGGGGAAUUCCUAGUGUAGCGGUGAAAUGCGCAGAUAUUAGGAGGAACACCGGUGGCGAAGGCGCCACUCUGGAUCGAUACUGACGCUGAGGAACGAAAGCAUGGGUGGCAAACAGGAUUAGAUACCCUGGUAGUCCAUGCCGUAAACGGUGGGCACUAGGUGUGGGUUUCUAUUAACGAAAUCCGCGCCGUCGCUAACGCAUUAAGUGCCCCGCCUGGGGAGUCGGUCGCAAGCUAAAACUCAAAGGAAUUGACGGCUUGNGAGUUGCGAGGCGACGACGAGGGAGAGG
rnacentral:rRNA from 1 species